CAUUCUGACUGCUUUUUUGUGGCUUAAUUAGAGCACAAAGGAAGGCCCUGCAUUGUUCACAGCUGGUUGGAGAAGUGAAAUGCAGCUGAUGAGCUUGUAUGGUGUGACCUCUAUACCAGGCUGGGCAAUGCAUGAACAAGUGUGGGUAAAGGUAGUCUCUGACUUCAGGGAGCUUCUGUCUGAUGGUGCAGAGAGAUGAUUGCAAUAUGAUGUGAUAAAUGAUGAGACAGACAUCUGCCAGAUGUCCUGGAGGAGUCUGUACUCUGAGAAGAUAUACAAAUGGUAUUUGAGCAAGCAGAGGACACAGCCUGGGAGAAGGCUCAGAGAAUGUAGUAAUACAGUUGAGUAGACAUGUCAUUUGGAUGUUUUUGGCUACAAGUAACAAAAACCUAACUGAAAGUGGUUUAAAUCAUAGGAAACUCAUGCUGUCAUUUGGCAAGAACUCUGGUAAUAAGUGGUUUUAAGGAUGAUCCUGGGCUCAAAGAUGUCAUCAAGGAGUCAGGCUCUUCCUACCACCCACUGUGUGAUCUCCACAAUAGGAGACUGCCGAUGCAGCCCAAGUACCAUGUCCUCCAAUGACAGCAUUUGAAGGAAACUCUCCUUUCAUUAGUGAGGAAAAUCCUCCCCAAAUGGCCAACAUGUUUUCCCUGUGCCUGACUGGGGAGAAUGUGGGCAUAGUAUUUGCAGGGAGUCUGGGAAAGUGAGUAUCUGUCAUUUUCAGCCUCUGUCAUGGGCAUUGGGCUUUUAAAAUAAGACAGACAGGCAAGGGAGGGAAGGGUGUUGGGUAGAGCAGUGUCAGGACUGCAAACUGUGAAUCUGAACAGGUAGGCUGGGGUCAGAACAAUUGUGACCUCAUCUACCAUGUUUUGGAGACUGGCUUUAUCCUUUUCCUUUAGUGAGAAACCAUGGGAC